rnacentral:rRNA from 1 species
UGGGGAAUAUUGCACAAUGGGCGAAAGCCUGAUGCAGCAACGCCGCGUGAGUGAUGAAGGCCUUCGGGUUGUAAAGCUCUGUCUUUUGGGACGAUAAUGACGGUACCAAAGGAGGAAGCCACGGCUAACUACGUGCCAGCAGCCGCGGUAAUACGUAGGUGGCAAGCGUUGUCCGGAUUUACUGGGCGUAAAGGAUGCGUAGGCGGAUUUUUAAGUGAGAUGUGAAAACCCUAAGCUUAACUUGGGGACUGCAUUUCAUACUGGAAAUCUAGAGUGCGGGAGAGGAGAAUGGAAUUCCUAGUGUAGCGGUGAAAUGCGUAGAGAUUAGGAAGAACACCAGUGGCGAAGGCGAUUCUCUGGACCGUAACUGACGCUGAGGCAUGAAAAGCGUGGGUAGCAAAACAGGAUUAGAUACCCUGGUAGUCCACGCCGUAAACGAUGAGUACUAGGUGUAGGAGGUAUCGACCCCUUCUGUGCCGCAGUUAACACAAUAAGUACUCCGCCUGGGAAGUACGAUCGCAAGAUUAAAAACUUAAAGGAAUUGAC